UCAGCUUAACAGCCGCCUAGAUACUUUGGAUACUAAUUUCAUUUAAACUUUAAUUUUGUUUUUAUAUCUUAUUCAAAGUUGCCUAACCUGUUUCAACGCAUCAUGACCCACCUGUGUAUUAUGCAUCCAGAAUCAGGCUGUAAGCACAUUUUCACUCUCAUACAUGCGGAACUAUAUAAUGACAUAGUUAGGCGCAACCUGCCCCGCUGACCUCGAGUGUACCCUUGCAUAAUUGAAUCGAACUAGUUUGCAAACCAUGUAGCUUUCCCAAUAAGUACAUUCACGGUGUCAGGUCCUAAGUGAAUCCUUAACACUAAUUAUAAGCGACAAUAUGGUGACGACACCAGAUCAACCGGCCACUAAACCCCAUAGCAUGUUAUCACACUAUCAAAUAAGAUCUGUUACAGGCAUCAACUGUUCAAACGAGGAAGUACACUAUGGGUCUCCACAGCACAGUAAUAUGUUUCCCUUACAUGCCUAUUAUGCCUUAUUCUGACAGUGCAGCAGUUUAGAUCAGCUUGUCAUACA